rnacentral:piRNA from 1 species
UGAGGGGCUUACUUUGCCCGUGGAAGCCAGU